CUCCAAAUCCUCCUCGCAUGCAACGCCACCCGUUUCCCCUCCAUCUGCGUCUCCUCCCUCUCCUCCUCCUCCUCCUCCUCCUCCACCGCUCCCGACAUCAUCUCCGCCGCCGUCUCCGCCGCCGCCGCCGCCCUCCCCGCCGCCGUCUCCGCCGCCAAAGACAUCCUCGCCGCCUCCGCCGCCUCCGUCAACCGCUCCUCCGCCGCCCGGAACUGCCUCGAGCUCCUCUCCCUCUCCUCCCGCCGCCUCUCCUCCGUCUCGCUCCCGCCGUCGUCGUUGCCGGCGGCGCGGGCGAUGGCGUCGGCGGCGCUGCUGUACCAG
rnacentral:lncRNA from 1 species